UUUCCUGUCCGCAACAUAUUUUUUUCGUUCUGCGCGGCAGUUCCGCCUAGUACGACUUCUGGCCGCUACUCCCGCCACGCAGCAGCGUAGCGUGGGGACUCCCAGCAUAUCCUAGUUAUCUGUACUUGCGUAUAUCCUUAAAAUGAUGGUGAAUAACGACUUACGAACAUUUCAAAUUACGAACGGCCGUUCGGAACGUAUCUCAUUUGCAAGUAGAGGAGCGUCUGUAUUACCAAUGCCUAUUACGCCUUUUGCGGUAUUGUGGCACGUAAAGAUGUCAGUCAUGGCAAGUUCUAUGGAAAACCAUAAAUACUGGGGCAAUAUUAAAGUCGAUCAAUUGUAAUAUUAGCCUAUAGUCAUGAUAUGAAAAGGAAAAUAUGAAAAUGUGAUCUUUACCACCUUCCACUGUACUUUUCAUGGGCAAGGUAAAAAUGUUAACCCCCAAGGUACUUUUUCCCCCAGCACCUUUUAGCUCUACCAGGAAGGUCAUAAAUCACUAGUCCUGCGGAGUCCUGUAUGGUAUGGCGGCUUCUUCAGGCGCAUCCAUAGACGUCAUCCGGCUAAAAGGGAAUUGCUGUUUACCACAGCACCGACGUCACGCACGCGGAUCUCUCGUGUAUUCGCAGUUACAAUUUCCAAAGCACACUGACGGUGGGACUGGGUGAAGGAGAAGAUGGACAUACAUAAGAGUCACGUCAUGAAGCCAAAAACAACAGUCCCUUUGACCCUGGACAAGGCCGACGAGAAGGCAGAAGAUGAGAGCUUGGGUACAGCGCAUUGUGCCUGAAAUGAGGCGAAAAUGUAUCAGGUCUUCUUGAUUCGUGAUGUACU